rnacentral:lncRNA from 1 species
UUUUAAGGGAUUCUAGAGCUUGCUUUAUAUAAGUGGGAAAAAUCAUCCUGUAUCUCUAUUAGGACAUCAAUGCAAAUUGUUCAUCUGUUUGAAAAAAGUAAUUUCACCAGCCACAUACCAGACACACUGUUAUCCGUUGAAUCUGGUGUAUUUGUAAUUUACAGACUGGGAACACAGGACAAAUCACCAUACCAUGCACACAACACAUUGUUUCCAACAUUUUAAUGUCCAAUUAGGAGUGCACGGAGUCCAGUUAAUUGAAGUAACUGGCUAUUAAAAUGGUUGCAAUUAAUAUGGUCACUUUCUAUCGGAGCUGCUGUUUUUCCUCUCAAAAACAUUAAGAGCCUCUUUCAAAAACAACAUGAUUCAUCUCCUUUGUCUUCACUGGAAAGGUAAAUAUCUGUCAAGAAUUUCUUCUUUCCUCAUAGCAAUAAUGUAAAUAUCCCAGAGUGGUCUUAAAAGAAGAGUUUAAGAAUGUGAAAAAGCCAGUUCAUUUCUUGAAAAAAGAAAUGAUUGCCUUUUUACCAGUUCAUCAUUAAUUUAACGC